rnacentral:lncRNA from 1 species
AAAAAGGUUCCGGCCUCAGCCGGCGCACCUGGCGGAGGAGGAACCUCGCGACGCGCUCUCGGGCAUCGGUUUCUCCCAGCAAAGCUUGGAGGGUUUAGCUGCGCGGAGAGCUCAGCGAGCUCUUCUGUGUCUGUUUGGGGCGUGUGGGCUCCGGGAGCGUGAGGACCGGGAAGCUAGGAGGCUCCUUCCCUUCUGGCGGCUCCCUCACUGAGACCGGGCGGUUUGGUUGCGGGGGAAGUGGAGACGAGCCACCCUUGACCUUUGACUGCAAGAACUCACCUUGAGCAGGAUAGAGGCACGUGGACGGUGACCCUCGGGAUGCAAUAAAUGCUGAGACAGAUCAGGUGUGCAAGGCACAGAGCUAGAGGCCAGAGGCCUUUCUUCUCCAACCUUCAGUCACCUCUUUUUAAAGUGAAGCCAGCAUCCUCCUCGGGGUUUACUGUGAAAAUUAAGUGAGCUGACGCGUGCUGUGUUUUGAUGUUGCUUGGCUCCUACAAACAUUGAGUGGGCCAGACACUGUUCUGAAAAAUACGCAGUCGACUUUUGAACAGCACAGGCUUGAACUGCAUGCGGCCACUAAUACUCGGACUUCCUUCUGCCUCUGCCAUCCCUAAGACAGCAAGACCCACCCCUCCUGCUCCUCAGCCUACUCGAUGUGAUGAUGCCACCCUGCCAACUACUCAGCAGGGGCCUUCUGAUGGACACUGUGAGAGGACAAGACACAAAAGAAAUGUAUACAAUGGAGAAGACAAUGAUACAAAUGAUACAAAGGAGAAGACAAUGGGCUUCUCCUUUGCCCCUGAGACUUCCUUUGAAAAAUAAUUUGCAAAAUCCCGCUCCCUGUGCCUUGCUCUAGAGUUUGAAGGCUUGGGCCUGUGAACAGUGAGCUCUCAGGAGGCACAGAUCGCUCCCUUAGGCACCAUGCUUGAGACUUGACCACAUUUCAGGCUGGCUCCGCCUGCUCUAGGCUGUGUCUCUAAAGGUGGCCCCACCCCUGCCUUGCACUAAGUCUUUACUCAAGAAAAUGCAAUGCUACCAAACCACAAAAUGUGCAUUGUCCCAACCCAGCUUGCACCAAAUUGUUUUCAGGAAUUCUCUAGUGACCCCUUCUGUAAUUUCCAUUUCCACAUAAACCCCAGGCCCUUUUUGUUCCCCCUUCUUCACUUCCCCAGCAUCCCUUUUUGUUCUCUCUCUGUUCUCCCUUCAGAAGCCUCAGUCCCCUUUAAUUGGGGCUGAGUUCUGUCUGACCUGGAAUCUCCCCCAAAGCAGGAGUCUGAAUAAAACCUGUCUUGCCACCUUUCACAAGUGUUUUGCGCUGUGUGUGUGUGUGUGUGUGUGUGUUUUUUUUUUUUUUCAUUGAUAGUUCAAAUCCUAUUUCCUCUGGGUAUUGUCUGUGUGUCCUUGGGUGAAUCACUUCACUUCUCUGAGUCUCAACUUCCUCAUCUUCAAAAUGAGAACGUAGGUAGGCCCACCUUGCUGCAAGGUGAUGAGGGAAGGCCCUCGCCAGGGGCCUGUCACUCCUUACUCAGGAAUAAUCACUGACCCAUCCCCACAGUGCUGGAACUCUUCUAGGCAUUGGGAGUAGAGAGAAGCAACACAGAGUUCCUGCCCACAGAGAGUGGACUUUCUAGUGAAGAAACAAACAACACACAGGGAAACCUAUCUGUAUUUGUCUGUUUUCAUGCUGCUGAUAAAGACAUACCUGAGACUGGGCAGUUUACAAAAGGAAGAAAGGUUUAAUGGACUUACAGGUUCACAUGGCUGGAGAGGCUUCACAAUCAUGGUGGAAGGCAAGGAGGAGCAAGUCACGUCUUACAUGGAUGGCAGCAGGCAAAGAGAGAGCUUGUGCAGGGAAACUCCCAUUUUUAAAACCAUCAGAUCUCACGAGACGUAUUCACUAUCGCAAGACCAGCACAGGAAAGACCUGCCCCCAUGAUUCAAUUACCUCCUACUGUGUCCCUCCCACAACAUGUAGGAAUUCAAGAUGAGAUUUGGAUGGGGACACAGCCAAACCAUAUUACCAUCUUAAAA